AGGCCGGCCUUGUUCUCUGCGCUAGGGUGGCAGGGUCCCCGGGCUGCCCCUAAGCCCUCCCCCCUGAGCUCCAGGGCUGCCAACCUGAUUGGGGGCCCAAGAGUAGCCACCACUAACCCUGAGGGCGUCCCCCGCCCCUCAAACAGCCUGGGGGUGCGUGCCAGAGGGCAACAGACAAUCAGACUGUGUUCCUCCUCCCCAGUUCGAACUGGAUUUCCCUCCUCGAGCCCCAGCCUGCCAGGCAUGACUUUCGCCUUCGGCCCCGGUCCACCCCUCACCUCGCGACGGUCGGGGGUCCUCACGCCAGGCCGGAGCUGGACACCAUGACCAGGAGGUCCAGAGAACCGUGUUUGGCGGAGUGAGUGAGAGCCGCGUUGGAAGAGGUCUGUGAAAUGUGGUACACGAAUGUACACACGCAACCCUAUCGCGGAACACAAUUUACUUUGCGGCUGGAGGCGGACGCAGAGCGAGGGGGCGGCGCCAGGGCUGCAGAUUAUCGAGGAUCACUUCGUCAAGAGAUUAGGACGAACGUCUCCUCCUGCUGAGACUCCUCACCAGCCCCAGACGAACGGGAGGAAUUCAGGACUGAAGAACAGUUCUUGGGAAGAGAGUCUAUCCCCUGAAGCAAUGGACAACCCAAGAAAGGGUUAACGUUGAGCCCUACAGUGACUUCAAUCAUUGGCUCAGAGCACUGUCAAUCGGAGUUCUGGGGCGGGGUUUUCGUGGCCGCCUUCAGACUGCCCAGGGCCCCUCACUUGCCCCUAGACCCCCACAUCACUUCACUUCUGGGCUGCGCCCACACCCCUGUCUUGGUGGAGACACCUUCCUGGGCCUGGAGGAAGAGCGGAUCCGAGUGUCCUGGCUUCCCUACUCCUUCCAGCUGCCUGGCUUCCUGAUAGAUGUCUUGCAGAUUGCGGGCAGACUUAACUCCUAGCGUGCCAGCCCGGUGGACUCGGAGGUGGUGACGCUGGAAAGGAGGGGACUCCGGACCCCACUCCCACCGCUGUUUAACACCUUGUGGCCCGGAACGCAGUCUCGGGAUCCAGGCUGGUCAGAGCCCUGGAAGGCUGCCUGGUAUUCGAGGAGAGAGACACAAAACCCGGCACCCUAGAGCUGCGGGACCUGGCCCAUUCGGCUGCCAAGUCUUCACUGUCUACACUCCCGCCAGCCCGGUCCUCUGUGUCUCUGCCUCCACUCUUCGGCCACCCUGCCCCCACCGCCCGACCCACUAGUCGUUACAAAGGUCCCCGGCCGACAGAAGGCUCCGGCGAACCCGGAAGUCUGGCCUCUGCGGCUGCCCCAGCGCUCUCCGCAUCCUCUGCGAGGCCCGGCGCGGGUGACCACAACCCACGCCUCCUUUGCCUCCAGGGGCCUCCUUCGCCUCUCGGUGGAGGCAGCUCCCCGACCGAGGCAGGGAAUGUAGCCUCCGCCAGCUCCGGCUGGGACAAGGGCCGGAGUAACUGGAAACCCUGACGUGACCUCCACCCUAGCCCCUCUGACAGCACCCCCCUCCACCAUCAGAUUUGCCUUCCAAGGCGGCCCUGAAGGACUCCGCCCGAGGACAGCAGCCGGCCAGGCGGGAAGGGGUUAACGGAGCUCGCCGCCUGCGUGAGAGAGCCAGCCCAUCUACUUAUUCAAAACCCAUUUUUGAGGACCUACUAUGCGCUGGGCACUGGAUGAGAUGACGCGUACCUGUGGAAGAUCAAGACAUGCGUCGCCCUCCGAGCCGGCAGUCUAGUUGGGGACAGAUGAGUGAACAAACGAUGUCAGUCCAGGGUCAUGAAGCCUCGGAGCACCUCAGAGAGACACCCAUCCUGGACUUGGGGGCCUGGAAAGUUCCCCGCUUAGGAGCCCCACCUGGGCUGAGAGGUGCUCUAGCCGGAGGUGAGGUUCCGCCCAGGUGGCCUAAAGACAACCGAAUUCCAGCACCGGAUCUCACCAGACCUUAUGAGGGAGGAGGGGUUCUCUGAAGCUGCAUUCCCAAACCAUUUCUUUCUGUAAGAUUUUUUCUGACUUUUUAAAAACUUUAUUUUUUAAGAGCCCACAA